rnacentral:lncRNA from 1 species
AUUUUUAGAAGCAUUCUAAGUCUAAAUAAUACAAACUAUUUAAUGUUAAAUGCUCACAUGAAGAGAGCAUUGUUGGAGAAUAAAUUACCUCAAUCACCGAUAUAUUAUAACUAGAGAAACUCAAACUAAAUCAAUCACCGAUAUAUUAUAACUAGAGAAACUCAAACUAAAUCGUAAACUAAAUUAUUUCAAGUAAAAUCAAAUCUCUCCCUGUCAAAGUUCCCAUUAAAGAGUGUUAUUGUACAUCAAAUAACCCAAAUCACAUAUUCCG